rnacentral:rRNA from 1 species
AUUGAACGCUGGCGGCAGGCCUAACACAUGCAAGUCGAACGAGUGGCGGACGGGUGAGUAAUGUCUGGGAAACUGCCUGAUGGAGGGGGAUAACUACUGGAAACGGUAGCUAAUACCGCAUACAAUCAGAUGUGCCCAGAUGGGAUAAGCUUGUUGGUGGGGUAACGGCUCACCAAGGCGACGAACCCUAGCUGGUCUGUGAGGAUGACCAGCCACGCUGGAACUGAUACGCGGUCCAGACUCCUACGGGAGGCAGCAGUUGGGAAUAUUGCACAAUGGGCGCAAGCCUGAUGCAGCCAUGCCGCGUGUAUGAAGAAGGCCUUCGGGUUGUAAAGUACUUUCAGCGGGUAGGCGUUACCCGCAGAAUAGCCACCGGCUAGCUCCGUGCCAGCGGCCGCGGUAAUUC